UGCUACCAUGCAGUCGUACGAGAAGUUCCCUUCGGGGGAUGAGUAAAGUGGCGCAGGGUGAGUAACGCGUGGAUAAUCUGCCCUUCAGACAGGAAUAACCCACCGAAAGGUGAGCUAAUACCGGAUAACACUGACGUGCCUCGGCAUAUCAGUCAAAGAUGGCCUCUCCAUGGAAGCUGUCGCUGAAGGAUGAGUCCGCGUACCAUUAGCUAGUUGGUAGGGUAAUGGCCUACCAAGGUGACGAUGGUUAGCUGGUCUGAGAGGACGGCUAGCCACACUGGAACUGAGACACGGUCCAGACUCCUACGGGAGGCAGCAGUGAGGAAUAUUGCGCAAUGGGGGAAACCCUGACGCAGCAACGCCGCGUGAGUGAGGAAGGUCUUCGGAUCGUAAAGCUCUGUCAGAUGGGAAGAAGGCUGAGAAGUUAACAGCUUUGAUGCUUGACGGUACCAUCAGAGGAAGCACCGGCAAACUCCGUGCCAGCAGCCGCGGUAAUACGGGGGGUGCAAGCGUUGUUCGGAAUCAUUGGGCGUAAAGCGCGUGUAGGCGGCCGGAUAUGUCAGAUGUGAAAGUCCCGGGCUCAACCUGGGAAGUGCAUUUGAAACUGUUCGGCUAGAGUUAGGGAGAGGAAAGUGGAAUUCCUGGUGUAGAGGUGAAAUUCGCAGAUAUCAGGAGGAACACCGGUGGCGAAGGCGGCUUUCUGGCCCUCUACUGACGCUGAGACGCGAAAGCGUGGGGAGCAAACAGGAUUAGAUACCCUGGUAGUCCACGCCGUAACGAUGUUCACUAGGUGUUGGGGGGGAUUGACCCUCUCAGUGCCGUAGCUACGUAUUAAGUGAACCGCCUGGGGAGUACGGUCGCAAGACUAAACUCAAGGAAUUGACGGGGCCCGCACAGCGUGGAGCAUGUGGUUUAAUUCGAUGCAACGCGAGACCUUACUGGGCAUGACAUCCCGAGCAUCUCCGAACGGGGAGUGCCCUCGGACUGUGACGUGCUGCAUGCUGUCGUCAGCUCGGUCUGAGAUGUGGG
rnacentral:rRNA from 1 species